CCUCACUGCCUUCCCAACCCUCUUCUAGCUGAUCCAAAUAAGGAAGACCAUUUAUGUGGUGUUGGGGAUCGUGCAGUCAAGUGCAGCUGUGGUCUGACGAUGGCUCAGUGGAACUAUGCUUGUGGGGGACGGUCCACCCUGCCUGCCGAGGCAGAGUGAACCACUCAGACGUGGGGAACAGGCCUCCAGCCCUGGGCUCCUCUGGCCAGAUCUGUCUGCUCCAUCAGGUCUCCAAGAUCCAAAAAUGGACCCCACCCAGGCUUCUACACCCCAGAUAGAUUCUCAGGCAGAUGGCCAUGAACCUGCUGUGUGACCUUGGGCAUGUCACCUGACCUCUUUUUUCUCAACAG